GAAAAUUCUUCCCAAUAUAUAUAUAUAUAUCAACAGCACAUUAACCAAUCCCUCAUAUAUUAUCUCCCUUCCCCAUUAUCUCAUCCAUCAUUGCAAGUAGUAGGCGGCGACGGAGAGCAACGAGGCGCCGAUGAGAGAGCCAAUUGCCGGGAGACCACUGGCGGCGCCGCUGCUUGGUCCAGGUGCUGGAGCCAACGCCUCAUCGUGAGCCACGACGGCGCUGACGGUUGCGGCAGCGAAGAGGACGGCGCAGGCGAUCUUCUUCAUCUCCAUUGCGAUUUUUUUAGGUUUUUUUUUUUGGA
rnacentral:misc_RNA from 1 species